rnacentral:rRNA from 1 species
CAGCCGCCGCGGGAAUACGGAGGGGGCUAGCGUUGUUCGGAAUUACUGGGCGUAGAGCGCACGUAGGCGGCUUGGUAAGUUAGAGGUGAAAGCCUGGAGCUCAACUCCAGAAUUGCCUUUAAGACUGCCGAGCUAGUAGGUGAGAGAGGUAAGUGGAAUUCCGAGUGUAGAGGUGAAAUUCGUAGAUAUUCGGAAGAACACCAGUGGCGAAGGCGGCUUACUGGCUCAUUCUAGACGCUGAGGUGCGAAAGCGUGGGGAGCAAACAGGAUUAGAUACCCGAGUAGUCCCUGUCUCUUAUAC